rnacentral:rRNA from 1 species
UACAGAGGUCCCCGAGCGUUUGUUCGGAUUCACUGGGCGUAAAGGGUGCGUAGGUGGUGAGGUAAGUCGGAUGUGAAAUCUCCGGGCUUAACCCGGAAACUGCAUUGGAAACUACCUUGCUAGAGGUUUUGAGGGGGGACUGGAAUUCUCGGUGUAGCAGUGAAAUGCGUAGAUAUCGAGAGGAACACCGGUGGCGAAGGCGAGUCCCUGGAAAACACCUGACACUGAGGCACGAAAGCUAGGGGAGCAAACAGG